rnacentral:rRNA from 1 species
AGCAGCCGCGGUAAUUCCAGCUCCAAUAGCGUAUAUUAAAGUUGUUGCAGUUAAAAAGCUCGUAGUUGAAUUUCGGGAUCAAGUCGUCGGUCGUGCUCAGGUACGUACUGGCGUCAUUGAUUUCUCCCUUCUGACGAACCAUGAUGUCAUUAAUUUGGUGUCAUGGGAAAUCAGGACUGUUACUUUGAAAAAUUAGAGUGUUUAAAGCAGGCUCACGCUUGAAUACAUUAGCAUGGAAUAAUGAAAUAGGACGUUCGAUCCUAUUUUGUUGGUUUUUAGGAUCAACGUAAUGAUUAAUAGGGAUAGUUGGGGGCAUUAGUAUUCAAUUGUCAGAGGUGAAAUUCUUGGAUUUAUUGAAGACUAACUACUGCGAAAGCAUUUGCCAAGGAUGUUUUCAUUAAUCAAGAACGAAAGUUAGGGGAUCGAAGACGAUCAGAUACCGUCGUAGUCUUAACCAUAAACUAUGCCGACUAGGGAUCGGAUGAUGUUAAUUUU